UACGUAGGGGGCAAGCGUUGUCCGGAUUUAUUGGGCGUAAAGAGCGUGUAGGCGGCCAUGCAGGUCAGCUGUGAAAACUCGAGGCUCAACCUCGAGACGUCGGUUGAAACCGCAUGGCUAGAGUCCGGAAGAGGAGAGUGGAAUUCCCGGUGUAGCGGUGAAAUGCGCAGAUAUCGGGAAGAACACCUAUGGCGAAGGCAGCUCUCUGGGACGGUACUGACGCUGAGACGCGAAAGCGUGGGGAGCAAACGGG
rnacentral:rRNA from 1 species